rnacentral:lncRNA from 1 species
UUUUUAUUUGAGAGUCUUGCUAACAAGGGCCUUGGUUAAAGGAAUAAAACAAGUGAGAUUGGUCAAGAAAAUAUAACUUAAGAUUGCUUAAUUUAAUUAUCAGAUAACUUAAGAUGACCAGUCUCGGCAUAAUAGUAAGGUUGUUGCUUAGUAACCAUGAUAUCAUGUCUUCAAAUCCUAAAAACAAUUUGUUCACUUAUAUGGAUAACGUUGCGUACAACCACUCUUUCUGAAAAGUUUUCAUGGUAAAAUUAAGUAUGUCUCAAAUAAUAUAUACACACAUCAGUUAUCAUUCUAGUUAUUUAGUAGUUUGGUAUGUCUUAAUGUCAACCUUACUUUGGGAACAUGCAAUACAGAGAAAACAAAACAUCUCUGUUCAACGUGGUCCAGUCCAUUGUUCCUGCAAGAUUAUCACUGGCAUUAAAAGGCAUUGUGUUCAAUGAAUAUCUAUCCUCGUUGCGCCAAAUUUCCGUCUCAGAAGGUAUCCGCAUUUCACAAGGUGUUGAAAAGAAGAGAGGAAGAAGGGGACGAGGUUCUCAACACUAUUUGAGCAAAGGUAAAAUGAUCUUGUCACCUGAAGAUAUAUCAUUGGUGUGUGAAGGUGAUCUGUACAGAAAGAUUUCUUCACAACAUAUAAUACAGUAACAUGAAUAAGCUUUAUAGUCUAAAUUUAUAAUAAAGCCAAUCAUUACGAAUGAUUUAUUGAUUAGGUACUAGAAGUUAGAAUAAUGCAUUGAGGAUUAGCAUAGGACAAGAUUGAUGUUUAUUAGUUUGCCUAUGAUGAGGGCUGAGAUUGUAAAUUAAGGGGUAAGAAGCAGAAUUGUCAAAAGUUACAUUUUAUGUUUGCCUAUGAUGAGGGCUGAGAUUGUAAAUUAAGGGGUAAGAAGCAGAAUUGUCAAAAGUUACAUUUUAUGUUUGC